AGAACAUAAGCACAGAUUGUCGGAUUGGUCUCGCAGCAGAGGGAUCUUUCUUACUGAACAUCUACAUCUUGAUAUUGCUCUGUUCUAUUGCUUCUGCAUUCUGAAUUCUGCUUUUUAAAUCCAUUUGUUGGAAUAGUUCUUAACCCAGUAGACUGCAUGUCUGUCAGGAUUCAGGAGGUGGUGGUGAUCGUUUGGCAGAAAACAAGAGCAGCUUUGCCUCUAACGAUGACCUGCCUAAUCAACUUUCUGCGAUCUCCUCUCCCAACCACCAUCACGUUCUUCUUGCUGCUGUUAGGAGCUGUGAAGCUGAUGGGGAUGGUGCUGUCGUGUCCAUGUAAGCCUGGGGUAAACGAGGCGUUUGUGUUCUUUACGUUUGUGGUGCCGGCUGUGAUGCUCUUCACCCUGAUGCUGGUUCUUAUCCGGCCGUGUCAGCAUCGCUGCAGGAGGUGCUCGUGCGGAAGUCGUUUUACAGAGGCCCUCAUUCCCUGCCUGAUCCCCUCGAUCCUGUGGGUCGUUCUGCUGCUCCUGGACGGUCAGUACGUGGCCUGUGGGUUGACCUACUGGAAAGGAAAUUAUGAACUGGAUGACAAUAAGCCUGAGAUGGUGUGGUGUGUUCCGUCGAGUUCGGGGCAGUUGCCAGAAAAGGCCUUGUAUCAACGCUUCAUUGGAUGGUCCCAGGUUUCAGGACUUAUUCUGCUGUUAGUCAUCUGCACUGUGACCAUGUUCGUCGUGGGUUGCCGGGACUGCCGUCAAGCUUCAGAGGGGAAUGAGGAGGUACAGCAUACAACAUCUUAAACAUUACCACUCAUCAGCCAUAACAUUAACUGUCAUGGUGGGGUACAGAAUACAGACACUCGCAGAACCAUUUAAGGAUUUUAUUAAAAACCCACAGGGUACAAAACAAAACAGUAGCAGUUGGUAGAUAAUACUGUUAAGCAGAUUCCAGGAGGAAAAGACCAUUACCGGAUAGUGAGGCAGUCCAAUGGUCAUACACGAAGCAGGCAGUAUCAGAGAAAAUCCACAAUCAGAAACAAUACACAGUCCCGAGGUCAUUCACGAAGCAGGCAGUAUC
rnacentral:lncRNA from 1 species